UUACGGUCAAAUCACACUGAAACACCGGUUCUCGUUCGAUCACCGAAGUUAAGCAUCGUAGAGCCAGGUCAGUACUUAGAUGGGGGACCGCUUGGGAACACCUGGUAUUGUAAG
rnacentral:rRNA from 1 species